UACGUAGGCAGCAAGCGUUGCUCGGAGUUACUGGGCGUAAAGAGUGCGUAGGCGGUGCCCUAAGUCUGUUGUGAAAUCUCCCGGCUUAACUGGGAGGGUGCGCCGAAAACUGGAAGGCUUGAGUGCCGGAGAGGAUAGCGGAAUUCCUGGUGUAGCGGUGAAAUGCGUAGAUAUCAGGAGGAACACCUGCGGUGUAGACGGCUAUCUGGACGGCCACUGACGCUGAGACACGAAAGCGUGGGUAGCAAACAGG
rnacentral:rRNA from 1 species